rnacentral:lncRNA from 1 species
GGAAGAUUGCACAGCAGCUGGGCAGAGGCGCUCCUCACUUCCCAGUAACCCUCUGCAGUCAGUAAUACUAUCCCUGCUUCACAGACCUGAAGAGAAAAGAGUUGACUAAUGUGGUCAAGCUGCUCAGCAAGCUUAAGUCUGGUUUGAGCCGAAGCCCUCACUUCCCACCUUACCAUGUCCGUGAGCACUCUCUGAUCUGACUCAGAAAUGAAGAGUUAAAUUUAGGCAACGUCUACCUAGAAUAUCUGCUUCUUGCUGCCACAUGUUCCUUCCAUUCCAUUCCAUGAAGUCUACUUAACGAGCCCCUUCAGUAGAGAAGUUCUCAACGAAUCCCUUCUGGAUCCAGGCAUUCUGAUUACUGUAUUAUGACUGUGCACUCUACCCAGUCAAUCUCCACAGGGCAGACUGUCAUCUGAGCCCGGCCUGUCCUGCUGUCUGCUCUCUCCAGAGAGCAUCCUUCAUCCUGAUAAACAGGCUGCGAGCUGGACACGUGACUGAGCUCCUUAAGGUAAAUAGACUACAGAGAGUUGUUCCUUCCAUGCUGGCUCAACAGAAUUUGAUAAGCAGAAU